AUGACCUUCCCGUCUCUGUGCUACUUGGGUCGAUUCAGUCCCUUUGAGUCCCGCCCUCCUCCAUUUGAAAAACGGAAAGAGCAAGAAGAAAAUAAAACAAGGGAGAAGACAAAAGCUGAAAGCAGCAUUCAGAACAAAUGUGAAACCCCGCUGAGUUGUAAUCCUUCACCUUGGCGACCUCGCAGGAAGGACCUGUCCUACUGCGAGUGCUGUCAUCAACACUUCAAUAAUCUUGAGGAGCAUUUACAGUCUGAUCAGCACCGUUCAUUUGUACUGGAUUCGUCAAACUACAGUGCGGUGGAUCAGCUUGUAAUUGCAAUGUUUCCAGAAUUUGAUCCCAAUCCAUGUCAACAAUCAGAACAAACAUCCAGCAGACCACCAACACCUUUGCCCGUUGAGGAUUUCUGUGAUCUGGAGCCUCUCUCUGAUAUUGGGAUGGAGGAUGGAGUCUGGGCCCUGCAGCCAGAGGGUGCAGCACAGAUCCCUAGCCCUUGUAGGGUCCCUCCUUCCUUUUGCUCCGCCGGUCCAUCAGCGGACGAUCAGCUUCCUAACCCAAAUCCAGCCGCUCUGCCUGCAGACAUACAGUCUUUCACUUCUGCUGGGAUCCAGCCUCACACUUUCAGCCCUGUCAUGCCUGUAUUGGAUACUGAACCACAACCUCACCCCUCAGCCUGCCAGCCGCCUGAUAAUCUCUCUCCGUACCCUAUGAAUCCGUGUGUCUCCUCUGACCCUUAUCUUCUUGCUCCAGUCCUCAGUCCGCAGUUACUUAAUUAUUCCGACUUAAUAGAGGUACACGGCUCCUAUUCAGACCCCCCUGUACUUAGUCCUCAACAGUAUGCAGUUGUGGAAGAAGACACUUGUGAAUCUGUUCCUCCUCCCUCGGAGCCUGUAACAAAUGCAGACGGAGCGAAGGUGUCAAACCUGGAAAGUCCUUUAGUUUUUAGGAGGAUCACGUGUUCCAGCAGAGCUCUGGAGUGCGAUAAACUGGCUUCAUGCAGGUCUCGAUCGCUUCCUCGGCCUUCGUCUACAGCGCUCAACCCCAAGAAGCGCUGCCGUUCGUCCAGUCCCAUAAUCAGCCGGAGCAAAAGGAGGCGGAUCACUGUGAGCUUUGGUUACAGCUGUACAUGGACCGAACAAGAGCUUACGUCAGCUCAACCAGACAGUGACCUAUUGGCCAGACCUGAGGCCUCUUAUGAGCUACAGUCUUGUUCAAACUCCCACGUCUCAUCCAUGUCCAUUACAUCCACCGUGGACUGUGGCUCAAAACAGACUUUUGACACGUUUUGCGUUCCUGCUGUACAGAAUUUCACCGCUCUACCACAUCAGAUUAACAUUUUGUGUCACGGUCGCGCUUCUGUUGCAGAUCAGCCAUCGUGGCCGUUUUUCUCACCAGCUAAGAGUUUUGAUUGUCCCCUUCCCAGUAAGAACUCUCUCAGCGGUCCUUCCAGUCAAGACUCUCAGCGUUCGCUCUCCCACUCUACCUCCGUGUGCAUUGAGUCCGCCCUCAUCCCAGACUUCGCCGCCCUCUCCCAGUCCUCGGACUCUGACUGGGACUGUGAGCUGGUGUCGCGUAUGGGCCCGGCCUCCGCGGCGCCCCUGUCACCCACUGAGCAGAGCGCUGAGCUGGACAAGGAGCUCCUCCACAGGCGCUGCGCCUGGACGCACAACAGCAGCUACGAGUCACGUCUGCACACGGUUCUCCAGCCGCCCGCUCCAGGAGCUUCUCUGUGCGGGGAGGAUGUGGAGCCUUCAGCCUUUUCCAGGACUGUUGUACAGACCGUCAAGGUUCAACACUGAAUCUGAAUCCUUUUUCUUUUUUUUCUUUUUUUGGGGAUUGUUGCAAAGAACUGCAGAAAGGACAACAUGGAUGCUGCACAUUUUACUUCAUGAAACAGAAGGUGGCACUUAAGCUCAUGAAAUGAAGUAAUUGUAUUAUACAUUAAAUAAAUAUUUACAACAUAGUAAAACCUUAAACUUU
ensembl:lncRNA